rnacentral:rRNA from 1 species
GAUGAACGCUGGCGGCGUGCCUAAUACAUGCAAGUCGAGCGAACGGACGAGAAGCUUGCUUCUCUGAUGUUAGCGGCGGACGGGUGAGUAACACGUGGAUAACCUACCUAUAAGACUGGGAUAACUUCGGGAAACCGGAGCUAAUACCGGAUAAUAUUUUGAACCGCAUGGUUCAAAAGUGAAAGACGGUCUUGCUGUCACUUAUAGAUGGAUCCGCGCUGCAUUAGCUAGUUGGUAAGGUAACGGCUUACCAAGGCAACGAUGCAUAGCCGACCUGAGAGGGGGAUCGGCCACCCUGGAACGGAGACACGGUCCAGACGCCUACGGGAGGCAGCAGUAGGGAAUCUUCCGCAAUGGGCGAAAGCAUGACGGAGCAACGCCGCGUGAGUGAUGAAGGUCUUCGGAUCGUAAAACUCUGUUAUUAGGGAAGAACAUAUGUGUAAGUAACUGUGCACAUCUUGACGGUACCUAAUCAGAAAGCCACGGCUAACUACGUG